rnacentral:rRNA from 1 species
AGACCCGAAACCCGGUGAUCUAGCCAUGGGCAGGUUGAAGGUUGGGUAACACUAACUGGAGGACCGAACCGACUAAUGUUGAAAAAUUAGCGGAUGACCUGUGGCUGGGGGUGAAAGGCCAAUCAAACCGGGAGAUAGCUGGUUCUCCCCGAAAGCUAUUUAGGUAGCGCCUCGUGAAUUCAUCUCCGGGGGUAGAGCACUGUUUCGGCUAGGGGGCCAUCCCGGCUUACCAACCCGAUGCAAACUGCGAAUACCGGAGAAUGUUAUCACGGGAGACACACGGCGGGUGCUAACGUCCGUCGUGAAGAGGGAAACAACCCAGACCGCCAGCUAAGGUCCCAAAGUCAUGGUUAAGUGGGAAACGAUGUGGGAAGGCCCAGACAGCCAGGAUGUUGGCUUAGAAGCAGCCAUCAUUUAAAGAAAGCGUAAUAGCUCACUGGUCGAGUCGGCCUGCGCGGAAGAUGUAACGGGGCUAAACCAUGCACCGAAGCUGCGGCAGCGACACUCAGGUGUUGUUGGGUAGGGGAGCGUUCUGUAAGCCUGUGAAGGUGUGUCGUGAGGCAUGCUGGAGGUAUCAGAAGUGCGAAUGCUGACAUAAGUAACGAUAAAGCGGGUGAAAAGCCCGCUCGCCGGAAGACCAAGGGUUCCUGUCCAACGUUAAUCGGGGCAGGGUGAGUCGACCCCUAAGGCGAGGCCGAAAGGCGUAGUCGAUGGGAAACGGGUUAAUAUUCCCGUACUUGGUGUUACUGCGAAGGGGGGACGGAGAAGGCUAUGUUGGCCGGGCGACGGUUGUCCCGGUUUAAGCGUGUAGGUGUGUGUUCCAGGUAAAUCCGGUUCACUUUAACACUGAGGCGUGAUGACGAGGCACUACGGUGCUGAAGCAACAAAUGCCCUGCUUCCAGGAAAAGCCUCUAAGCAUCAGGUAACAUCAAAUCGUACCCCAAACCGACACAGGUGGUCAGGUAGAGAAUACCAAGGCGCUUGAGAGAACUCGGGUGAAGGAACUAGGCAAAAUGGUGCCGUAACUUCGGGAGAAGGCACGCUGACACGUAGGUGAAGUGAUUUACUCAUGGAGCUGAAGUCAGUCGAAGAUACCAGCUGGCUGCAACUGUUUAUUAAAAACACAGCACUGUGCAAACACGAAAGUGGACGUAUACGGUGUGACGCCUGCCCGGUGCCGGAAGGUUAAUUGAUGGGGUCAGCGCAAGCGAAGCUCCUGAUCGAAGCCCCGGUAAACGGCGGCCGUAACUAUAACGGUCCUAAGGUAGCGAAAUUCCUUGUCGGGUAAGUUCCGACCUGCACGAAUGGCGUAAUGAUGGCCAGGCUGUCUCCACCCGAGACUCAGUGAAAUUGAACUCGCUGUGAAGAUGCAGUGUACCCGCGGCAAGACGGAAAGACCCCGUGAACCUUUACUAUAGCUUGACACUGAACAUUGAGCCUUGAUGUGUAGGAUAGGUGGGAGGCUUUGAAGCGUGGACGCCAGUCUGCGUGGAGCCGACCUUGAAAUACCACCCUUUAAUGUUUGAUGUUCUAACGUGGACCCGUGAUCCGGGUUGCGGACAGUGUCUGGUGGGUAGUUUGACUGGGGCGGUCUCCUCCUAAAGAGUAACGGAGGAGCACGAAGGUUGGCUAAUCCUGGUCGGACAUCAGGAGGUUAGUGCAAUGGCAUAAGCCAGCUUGACUGCGAGCGUGACGGCGCGAGCAGGUGCGAAAGCAGGUCAUAGUGAUCCGGUGGUUCUGAAUGGAAGGGCCAUCGCUCAACGGAUAAAAGGUACUCCGGGGAUAACAGGCUGAUACCGCCCAAGAGUUCAUAUCGACGGCGGUGUUUGGCACCUCGAUGUCGGCUCAUCACAUCCUGGGGCUGAAGUAGGUCCCAAGGGUAUGGCUGUUCGCCAUUUAAAGUGGUACGCGAGCUGGGUUUAGAACGUCGUGAGACAGUUCGGUCCCUAUCUGCCGUGGGCGCUGGAGAACUGAGGGGGGCUGCUCCUAGUACGAGAGGACCGGAGUGGACGCAUCACUGGUGUUCGGGUUGUCAUGCCAAUGGCACUGCCCGGUAGCUAAAUGCGGAAGAGAUAAGUGCUGAAAGCAUCUAAGCACGAAACUUGCCCCGAGAUGAGUUCUCCCUGAGACUUUAGGUCUCCUGAAGGAACGUUGAAGACGACGACGUUGAUAGGCCGGGUGUGUAAGCGCAGCGAUGCGUUGAGCUAACCGGUACUAAUGAACCGUGAGGCUUAACCUUACAACGCCGAAGCUGUU